rnacentral:lncRNA from 1 species
UACAUAUUGCACAUGGGAGCAAUCAUGCUUCCUGACAGAAAUUCCUGUCUGCAUUUGUUUACUUACAGAUGUUGCUUGUUGAUACCAAUCAAUCCUGGGAAUCAAAACCUGUCAUUCUCAGCAUCAACCUGACAUACAUUGCUUUCAGCUAAGUCUUCAAGACGUAUGCCAGUCGUCUUUCUGUGGUCAUUGAGGUAAAGUAAGAUUUUUUUCCCAAUUUUAUCACUACUUACUGAAUUCUUACUGUUAUUUUUUUCUGUUGGAAAUUGAUACAUUAAAGGAGAUAAAAUGAAUAUGACAUAACAGUAUCUGGCUCCAACAGAUCAUAGUCUUGGCCUGUUGAUAGUGAGUGAAAACAGGGUAACCUAGUAAACAUUGUGACCUCACAUACAUGGUCUUCAUUAAUGACUAGCAGAUGGUUUGAACAUGGACGCUGUCAAAAAGGAACUGAAUGGCUAUCAUCUGGAACCAAGGGUCACCUCUGAUAACUGCUAGAUGCCUACAUAUCCAAAAUGGACUCUUCCCAAUAGGCGUAGUCAGGGUGACUGCUCAACCUUCACAUCACAGUUUAUCUGAUCUAGUAAUCUGAAUAUUACAAUGACUGAAUUGUAGACCACUUUCCUUGUUAACUGGCCAAAUGACAAAUCAUACAGCAAUCAGUCUUCGUGGUAUCUGGACAAAUACCAACCUCUGUGAUUGUUUUGUUGUGUGUGUGAGUACAACUUGCAAUCAUGUUGAGGAAAGAUGAAGAAGGAAAAUGUGAUGAAACAAAAUGGACAUGAAAUAAGAAAGGUACAAGAGAAGAAAUGCUAGUGGAACAGCAUAAAAUUAGAGUCCAAAUGCCUGCCUAACCACAAAUUCAUUGUAGCUCCUCAAGCUUGAUGUCAUUCUGCCACAGCUCUCUGGGGCUCCCCUCUUGGGCUCCCCUACAUUGUUCUCUUAACCAGAGUUUACUCAUUUACAAAAGAAUGAAUGGGAUAAUGUUUGAACAGAUAGCUUAUUCUCUGUAAAUUUCCUUUUUCUCAUUUCAAACAUCCUAAUACAGAACAGAAAACUUGAUAUCAAAGGCCUUUCCUAAUAUGUCAAAGCUUAUACCUUUGAAGAAAUCAUGUUACGUGUCCCAGGGAGGAAAAAGAGAAAAGGUGGUGACUUUCCAGGCCAG